UACAAAUGUUUGAAUGAGGGAGGCCUUACAAAUAGAAAAUCCACAUGAAUUUCUGUGUUUUCGGCACUAAUUCCACGUGUUACUUUCUGUUUUUUGUUGCAGAUUUUCGCGGAUCUCAGCCACACAUUGAAAAGGGUGAAAACAGCACAAAGAAUUUGCUACAGAUUUCACAAUCCAGGGGUGAAUGGAGGCACUUGC